rnacentral:rRNA from 1 species
CCCUUAGAUGUUCUGGGCCGCACACGCGCUACACUGAAGGAGGCAGCGUGUACUCCUGGAUCGACAGAUUUGGGUAACCCGCGAAUCUCCUUCGUGCUAGGGAUUGAGGUUUGCAAUUAUCCUUCAUGAACGAGGAAUUCCCAGUAAGUGCAAGUCAUAAGCUUGCGCUGACUACGUCCCUGCCCUUUGUACACACCGCCCGUCGCUACUACCGAUUGAAUGAUUUAGUGAGGACUUCGGACUGGGACCGAUGCGGCUUUCGGGCUGCGUCGGUAUUCUGGAAAGAUGUCCAAACUGUAUCAUUUAGAGGAAGUAAAANUCGUANCA